UGUUAAAAAUAUCAUUCACUUGUAUUAUUAAAAACUAAUGUGGUUGACAGGAUAACCAGACGGUAAAAUUUGGUAUGUCACAUAACCUCAUUUUGAUAUACAUGGAUCAAUUUCUAACAGUAGAAAUGGGUGAAUUUUUUAGUA
rnacentral:pre_miRNA from 1 species